rnacentral:rRNA from 1 species
AGCAGCCGCGGUAAUUCCAGCUCCAAUAGCGUAUAUUAAAGUUGUUGCAGUUAAAAAGCUCGUAGUUGAAUUUCGGGAUCAAUAUGUAGGUCGUGCCUCGGUACGUACUUGCAUCAUUGAUUUCUCCCUUCUGAUGAACCAUGAUGCCAUUAGUUUGGUGUUAUGGGGAAUCAGGACUGUUACUUUGAAAAAAUUAGAGUGUUUAAAGCAGGCUCACGCUUGAAUACAUUAGCAUGGAAUACGAAAUAGGACGUUCGAUCCUAUUUUGUUGGUUUCUAGGAUUGACGUAAUGAUUAAUAGGGAUAGUUGGGGGCAUUAGUAUUCAAUUGUCAGAGGUGAAAUUCUUGGAUUUAUUGAAGACUAACUACUGCGAAAGCAUUUGCCAAGGUAUGUUUUCAUUAAUCGAGAA